CAGGUUGGGAAGACAGGGUUUUGGCCGGCAAAGGAGUUUCCUGAGUAGAUGAUGGCUGAGCUGAAAUCUUAAGCUCAGGAAAAAUACUGGGAUGAUAACACCCAGUGCUUGGGUGUCUUAAAGGAAGAAGAAAAAGAAGAUGAUGCCUGAGAAGUUUGCCACCUGCAGCUUGGCACUUCCUCAUCCUAAAAUUUGGCUGCUAAUUUCUGCUGAUGCUCAUGGAAAAUUUCCCAAAGACCCUGCUCCUGAAUGAAUUGAAAGCCUUUGAGUUGAGUUUGUAUUCCUUAACCUGUACCCUGUAAAAGACGGUAGCCAAGUAAUGGAACUGUAGUUAAUAAAACAGGAGACAGUCUCUCUUCUGGAUAGAUGGAAGACAUUCCUGUUUGCCUCCAAAAUAAGCCUCUUUUCCCAUCACUGCCCUUGGAGGUUUGACAGUUCAUGCCCAGCACGCCUCUCAGUAAGCACCGAGAGCAGAAGAAGAUAAUCACUUGGCGGGAAUUGUGCAGACUGCAAUUCUCUCUUCAAGGAACAAUUUGCCAGGGGAGCUGCCCAUGCUGGUCACAUUUUGUUAGUUUCUACCCACCAAGCAGCCGCUUGUGACAAAGAAGCUCCUGUCCUUCACUGGAUUUGGUUUCAGGCAAAUGAAAUGAUGCCUUGCCACUCUCUGGCAGACAGAAGUAGUUUCUCAAGAUAGAAAUUCAGGCUGUAGAAAUGGAUUUAGAGGAUUUAGGGUAUGGGGUGUGUGUUGGGCUUUUGAGUGUGAGAUGGAGCAUGAAGGGUGUAAGAAUGUGCGGACACUCAGGGCAUUGAAGCCACUUGGAGCUCUGAGACCUGAGUAUCUUGACUCUAGGAACAUCUGGCAUUUCUUACCCACUCAUUCAACAAUGUUUACUGAGUAUCUACAACGUGAGCCAGACACUUUUCCAAACAAAAGAGACAAAAACUGUACCCUCACGUAGCUUGCAUUAUACAAGGGAAAGAAAGAUAACCAAAUAGUAUAAUAUACAAGUAACUUUCUACACUAUACUAGGAGGUGAGAAACACUACGGAAAAAAGAAAACAUAGUACAGAGUGAGUAGAAGAGGGGUGUUGGCAGGUGGGCAAGUGGUGGCAUGAGGAAGAUGGUUUCAGCAAACCUCACUGAGACUUGGAAGGGUGAUGAAUUAGCCAAGUAGCAUUUGCAGGAAAAACACUGUAGGCAGAGAGAAGUGCUAGAGCCAAUAUUCGAAGGUGGGAGCCUGCCUGGCAUGUUCACUUGAAUAGCAAGGAGGACAGGGAGUAAUGGGAGGAGUAUCAAGACAUAAAGUCAGAGGACAAGUGGACCCCAAAUCAUGCCAGGCCUUGGAAAGAAUCUGGCUUUUCCUUGUAGUGAAACUGGGAAUCAUUGGAGGGUCACAAUCUGAUAAAAUAUGUAUCCUGAGGUCAGGCGCGGUGGGUCUUGCCUGUAAUCCCAGCAUUUUGGGAGGCCGAGGGGUGCAGAUCAUUUGAGGUCAGGGGUUCAAUAUCAGCCUGGCCAGCAUGGUGAAACCCCAUCUCUACCAAAAUACAAAAAAUAGCCGGGUGUCGUGGUGCGUGCCUGUAGUCUCAGCUACUCUAGUUUAUACAGAUUCUGGAAUUCUCUCACACCUCCCCUCCUGGAAACAAACACUCCAGCCUGGGCAACAGAGUGACACUAUAUCCCA
rnacentral:lncRNA from 1 species